UACGUAGGGACCAAGCGUUGUUCGGAUUUACUGGGCGUAAAGGGCGCGUAGGCGGCGCGGUAAGUCACUUGUGAAAUCUCUGAGCUUAACUCAGAACGGCCAAGUGAUACUGCAGUGCUAGAGUGCGGAAGGGGCAAUCGGAAUUCUUGGUGUAGCGGUGAAAUGCGUAGAUAUCAAGAGGAACACCUGAGGUGAAGACGGGUUGCUGGGCCAACACUGACGCUGAUGCGCGAAAGCCAGGGGAGCAAACGGG
rnacentral:rRNA from 1 species